AGAACACUAUGCAAGCCCGGAGCUCUUCCUUAAGAAAUGCCUCCAAUAUAACCCAGGUGAAGAGUAAUUAAUGCUCCGGAUCUGCUUCGGCCAGAACAGAGAGAGAGCGCCUUCGCUGCACAAAACACUUGGGUCUGGCUAUGGGGGCACAGGCCCAGAAGCCAGCACCCCUGCCUUCCCACGGAGGCACAGCAGUGGGCGUGUGUGACAUUCUUGCCCCCUUAGUGGGGCCACCUUUGUUCCAACAACUGUGGCAGUGUGGUAUGGUGGCUAAGAGUGAAACACUUCCCAUGCAGCCAACUGCACACAGCAGCGCCUCCCACAUUUCUACAUGAACGGCCUGGAGCAGCAAUCUAGAGAGAAGACGAAGCUAGGGAAUUUGUCUUAAAGCUGCCUUGCAUAAAUAAGAGGCUGUUUUUACCUAGAUUUGAUGUUUAUUUGGUGCGGCGCCAAGGGGUGCUGAUGGAGAUUCUGAAGACACUAACCCACCUGCGUCAGCAUGAAUCCAGGAGAGGAGCCUUUAGCUGAUAAGGAGUCCGCUACCCUUGGGCUGUGGGGGAGGCGCUCUCAUCUCUAGUAGGCAGGAAGGUCUAACCAUUGAAAUGAUGCAUUACAAUCAGUAUUGCCAUGGGAUCUCUCUCUCCGGUUCUAACAUCCAAAAACCAGUUCAUACUCAUUCUGAGAGUCUGAUGGUUUGAAUCUAUUAAUCAUGUCUUUUCAUUCUGUGUUUUUGAUGCUUUGACAUCUUGGGGCCUCGAUGACCCUGGAGCAUCUGCUCCUCCCAGGUUUAACCAGUUCCUAGAGAUAGCAAACAACUCU
rnacentral:lncRNA from 1 species